CACGUAGGGGACGAGCGUUGUCCGGAUUCAUUGGGCGUAAAGUGCGCGUAGGCGGCUCGGAAAGUCGGUCGUGAAAUGCCGGGGCUCAACCCCGGGACUGCGUCCGAUACUCCCGAGCUGGAGGCAGGUAGGGGAGAUCGGAAUUCCUGGUGUAGCGGUGAAAUGCGCAGAUAUCAGGAGGAACACCGGUGGCGAAGGCGGAUCUCUGGGCCUUGCCUGACGCUGAGGCGCGAAAGCUAGGGGAGCGAACAGG
rnacentral:rRNA from 1 species